rnacentral:rRNA from 1 species
CCCAGUCUGCUGCCUCCCGUAGGAGUAUUACCGCGGCUGCUGGCACGUAGUUAGCCGUGACUUAUUCCGGGAGUACUGUCCUUCCUCAUCCUCCCGAAAAGAGCUUUACGACCCGAAGGCCUUCAUCGCUCACGCGGCGUUGCUGCAUCAGGCUUUCGCCCAUUGUGCAAUAUUCCCGA